GGGGACGUUACGGAUUCGACAGGGGUGGUUCAAGCUCUGGUCGCGCGUCGGAGGUCUCGUCUUCGUCAUCAACGGAAGUUAUAUAAUAACUGGCAAACAACAAAACUUAGCUUUCGCAGCGUAAGCUCGUAGGCGUUCGGCUUUUGCAUCGCCCAUGUGCAGAAAUCCCGGACUCAACUUUAGUGGGAUACGAUUACUGGUGCCACCUGAGUCAGUAGUAAGAAGACAGUAGGUUAGCGCUCUGGACGCCUGUUUACCGGCAUAAGGAAGCGCGAAUUGUAAAUAGGUAGACUACACGCGUAGAAGCCGGCGUAUUGGAGCUUCUGGACGCGGGUUCGACUCCCGCCGUCUCCAUUU
rfam:Caryophanon tenue strain DSM 14152 DSM_14152_R1_001_contig_12, whole genome shotgun sequence.